UCAGUCGACUCCUACGGGAGGCAGCAGUGGGGAAUCUUGCGCAAUGGGCGAAAGCCUGACGCAGCCAUGCCGCGUGAAUGAUGAAGGUCUUAGGAUUGUAAAAUUCUUUCACCGGGGACGAUAAUGACGGUACCCGGAGAAGAAGCCCCGGCUAACUUCGUGCCAGCAGCCGCGGUAAUACGAAGGGGGCUAGCGUUGCUCGGAAUUACUGGGCGUAAAGGGAGCGUAGGCGGACUGUUAAGUUAGAGGUGAAAGCCCAGGGCUCAACCUUGGAAUUGCCUUUAAUACUGGCAGUCUUGAGUACGGAAGAGGUAUGUGGAACUCCGAGUGUAGAGGUGAAAUUCGUAGAUAUUCGGAAGAACACCAGUGGCGAAGGCGACAUACUGGUCCGUUACUGACGCUGAGGCUCGAAAGCGUGGGGAGCAAACAGGAUUAGAUACCCUGGUAG
rnacentral:rRNA from 1 species